rnacentral:rRNA from 1 species
ACGCACGCUGGCGGCGUGCUUAACCCCUGCCGGUCGCACGGAAAGGCCCUGCUUGCAGGGUACUCGAGUGGCGAACGGGUGAGUAACACGUGGGUGAUCUGCCCUGCACUUCGGGAUAAGCCUGGGAAACUGGGUCUAAUACCGGAUAGGAGCCAUUUUUAGUGUGAUGGUUGGAAAGUUUUUUCGGUGUAGGAUGAGCUCGCGGCCUAUCAGCUUGUUGGUGGGGUAAUGGCCUACCAAGGCGGCGACGGGUAGCCGGCCUGAGAGGGUGGACGGCCACAUUGGGACUGAGAUACGGCCCAGACUCCUACGGGAGGCAGCAGUGGGGAAUAUUGCACAAUGGGCGCAAGCCUGAUGCAGCGACGCCGCGUGGGGGAUGACGGCCUUCGGGUUGUAAACUCCUUUCGCUAGGGACGAAGCUUUUUGUGACGGUACCUAGAUAAGAAGCACCGGCUAACUACGUG